AGUAACGCGUGGAUAACCUGCCUCACACUGGGGGAUGACAGUUAGAAAUGGCUGCUAAUACCGCAUAAGCGCACAGUACCGCAUGGUACGGUGUGAAAAACCCAGGUGGUGUGAGAUGGAUCCGCGUCUGAUUAGCCAGUUGGCGGGGUAACGGCCCACCAAAGCGACGAUCAGUAGCCGACCUGAGAGGGUGACCGGCCACAUUGGGACUGAGACACGGCCCAA
rnacentral:rRNA from 1 species